rnacentral:lncRNA from 1 species
CUCUGGAAGCAAGUAAUCCACCAAUUUACACAAACUUGGUUGACUUCCUUAUCCAUAUGCAUAAUACCAGUACAGUUGUAAUGGUCUUGGCUGGACCAAUCCAUGAUCUGGUGUCAAGGGAGCAUUCUUAAAAGUUAAUGGAGGGCUACAA